rnacentral:lncRNA from 1 species
GCGCAUGCACGGCCAUUCCGGCGGCGGCGGGCGCCGCCGCAGCAUACGCGCGCAGUAAGUAGCUGCGAGCGAGCCGGCACGACGAGCCCGGCGGAGAGUGUCCCGAAACCACACGGCUGUCGGCCCUUCUUCCAUUACAACGGGGAAAGUGGCGGCAGGGGCAGCAGAGGACCAUUCACGCAGAACGGAGAGCCGGAAAGCCCCAAGACCAUGAGCGCAGAGACGGCCGCGGCUCGCGCGGUGUUAUUCUGCGCGGCUGCGUACGGAGCAGAGGUGUCUGGCAUCGGCUGCGCCACGUGGCUUGCCGAUUGCCAGAAAAUGCUGCUGCACUAGGGCGGUGUCCUAUAGCAGGUGCUCCUGCCUGUGUCCUGUUCGGGGUUUUGCGUUCCACGACAGCGUGCCUUACCGAAUUCGCGGAUCCUGAGAGUGGGGCCCGCUUGGAACAGCCACAAUCUCGGGCCUUCCUUCUAGAGGCCACGAACGCCUUCGAAAGACAUACACUGCUUGGAGACAAAGACUUAGGGGCAGCCUCAUAACCAAGUCACCAGGGCACAAGACAGUGAAGGUGCCGCCUCGCUGGACUCACUUCUACGGGCCAGUUCAGACAUCCGCAACGCUGAAACAUGUUUUCUCUUUGUAUGAUUCUAAUACACCUUCUAAUAAACUACUCGAGGAAA